rnacentral:rRNA from 1 species
GAUGAACGCUAGCGACAGGCUUAACACAUGCAAGUCGAGGGGCAGCGGGGUGUAGCAAUACACCGCCGGCGACCGGCGCACGGGUGAGUAACGCGUAUGCAACUUGCCUAUCAGAGGGGGAUAACCCGGCGAAAGUCGGACUAAUACCGCAUGAAGCAGGGGCCCCGCAUGGGGAUAUUUGCUAAAGAUUCAUCGCUGAUAGAUAGGCAUGCGUUCCAUUAGGCAGUUGGCGGGGUAACGGCCCACCAAACCGACGAUGGAUAGGGGUUCUGAGAGGAAGGUCCCCCACAUUGGUGCUGAGACACGGACCAGACUCCUACGGGGGGCAGCAGUGAGGAAUAUUGGUCAAUGGGCGCGAGCCUGAACCAGCCAAGUCGCGUGAGGGAUGAAGGUUCUAUGGAUCGUAAACCUCUUUUAUAAGGGAAUAAAGUGCGGGACGUGUCCCGUUUUGUAUGUACCUUAUGAAUAAGGAUCGGCUAACUCCGUGCCAGCAGCCGCGGUAA